GAUGCCCAUUUUGUAUUUGACUAUAAAUUGGAUACCACUAGGGAAAAACUAAAGUGUUCAGAUUCUAAUGCAUCAUCUAAAACAGCACAGUCGUGUUCUCCCAUUUUAUAUUCUUUUGGACUAUAUGAUUUCUGGAGAGUAUUCAAUUUUGGAGUAAAAGACUAUACAUAGUACUCACAAUCUUGUAAUAAGUACUCCCGAAUUGAUAGAUUUAUUGUAGAUAACAAUGUG